rnacentral:rRNA from 1 species
UGCGCAGGCGGUUUUCCAAGUCAGUGGUGAAAGCCCGGAGCUCAACUCCGGAACUGCCAUUGAAACUGUGAAACUAGAGUACGAGAGAGGUGAGUGGAAUUCCCAGUGUAGAGGUGAAAUUCGUAGAUAUUGGGAAGAACACCGGUGGCGAAGGCGGCUCACUGGCUCGUAACUGACGCUCAGGCACGACAGCGUGGGGAUCAAACAGGAUUAGAUACCCUGGUAGUCCACGCCGUAAACUAUGGACGCUAGCCGUUAGGCAGCUUGCUGCUUAGUGGCGCAGCUAACGCAUUAAGCGUCCCGCCUGGGGAGUACGGCCGCAAGGUUGAA